GCGGAGGGAUCCGCACACGUUGUGUCUCCAAUUUCGAAAUGCACCGAAACGUGGGCGUACUACGUUAACUGUCCCUGUAAUCAGUUCUUGUCAGCCCUCCCGUCUGGGCAAACCGCCGACCUUGUCAGCAUUCGCGGUCCGGCGAUACGCCGCCGCUGACGCCGCCGCCUCUGCUGCGUUUGCUUAUCACCGGGAAGGGCCCGAACGCCGAGCAACGCCUGGGCGCCACGAACGAACGCGAGAGCGUAGAUUGAACCGAAUAAAUUCCCAGGAUUUGUUAUCGCAAAGUGUGGAUCGGGGGUUAUCUCGCACGAGCGACGGUCACAAUGCUAUAAAAAUAAGUCAGCCUGCAGCAGACACUGUCUGAGCCGCUGAUCUUCCCUGUUUGGCGGUUCCGUCACACUGGUCGUGCAAGAACCGUCCGCAGACAUGUUGGACGAAUACGUGCAUCUAUGAAGCAGACGUGUUUCUUCGAGCAGGAUUGAGCCGAGUUCGUCCCGAGCCAGCUUGGAGCUGGCCACCAUCUUGGCCACGUCCCCGGGCCGUCGUUCCAGGACGUCGUACGGUACGCGGACCCCGGACGCUUCCUGGAAGGCGGCGAUGACCUCGAGCACGGAGGCGCCGCCGGUGCCGCCGUUCAUGUUGUUCCGUCCGGCGUGUCGUAGUCAUUCCCGUGGAUGUGCAGCCUUUCCCGCCUCCCG